UGAGCUCUUUGUGUUCACAGUGGACCUUGAUUUAAUUUCAAUACAAUUAAGGCACGCGGUGAAUGCCAAGAGAGAAGCC
rnacentral:pre_miRNA from 13 species